AGCUCUAUCAUUUACGAUAUAUGUGUCAGAAUUAGGGACAAACCCCACAAGACCAAAAUUCAUCUACUUCAUCUCUCCUCUUCAGAGAACUUACCCAAAACCCUGGAGCACCGUCCUGACUUUCCACCGCCUCAGGCCGGCAGCGCCACUCGCAAAUCGCCUCAAAUUAACGCCAUGGAAUCCCUAUUGUUCCCUCUCCCCAAAUCUCUAACUCUUUUCCCUUGAAUCACCCUACUUCCUUUUGAAUCUUGGAUUGAAGUUGAAGCCUUAAAAGCCCAAAACCAAACCCAUACAUGUAAGGCUAUUUCCUUAAUUUUUCCUGGUUAUUCAAGGUCGAUUUUAUCACAAAAUAAUGUUGUUCGCCUGUUCAUGAUGGAGAACAAGCGAUUGAAAUUAUUAGGGGUUUAAAUCGAAAUAUCAGUCUUGAAUUCGAGUUUGGUCGGUGAGUUCCUUCGUUCGUCUUUGUGCUAUUUCAACAUUCAUUGAUCUUUAUGUCUUCUCUUUCUCUUUUGUUAAUUCGACUGAAACUCAACCAAAGUUUCUGGUCGAUUUGAGCGGUGAUCGCUUGUUCCCUUUAGUUUUCUUUUUUUCAAAUCCUAUAAGUUGGUUCUUUGAUUUUCAAUAAUCUGUUUAGUUUUAUUAAUGUUAUAUUUUAAACCUCUGAUUUCAUCUUCUUUUUUUAAUUUAGUUAAAUUAUUUUUUUAAUAACUUAUUUUAAUUCCGUAUUAAUGAGUCCAUUAGUUUAGGUUUUAGCGUUUCUUAAAAUCAUUUAGAUGUUUUCUUCCUGUUUGUCAUAAAUUGCCAAAUCCUAAAUCGGAUUCUAUCUCCACUGUUUGGCCCUUCCCCAUAAGGCCCCACCGUCGGGGCAUAAACGCCCUCUUGCUACCCAUAUGCGAGGCGCUGUCUUAGCCUUCCCUGACCAGGAUCGCUCGCGACCUGUAGCGUUCGUGAUCGGGCUCCUCAACUGUGUAUCUAUCGAAAGGCAGGGCGGCACAACCCCCAACCAAGGGAGUGGUUACGUCUCUGGUUUGAGUUAUUUUGGUGUUUAGGAAUUGAAGUCAUUUCAGACCUCACUCUAAGGGUUUGAUUUAGGUUAUUAGGUAAAAAUUCAGCCCAUGAUUGGUUUAACCAUUGGGUCAAUUUGACCCAUGACCCAUGAGUUCCUGGGGUAAAAUCAGGGAUCCUAAGGGUUAGAUUAGGAAUUUAGGCUAGGGAAUAUCUGUGUAACUAGCUGAAGGAAGCUUUCUAGAAGCUGCCUUUUGGACUAGAUUGAAAAUCUAAUUUUUACACAAAGGAUACUUAGGCAAAAAUGAAAAUUUCAAAAGGGUAAAACUGUAAAACUUAGCUCAUUUGCUACCCUCAAAGCUUUCCUACAAAGGCACCCUUUCUUCUUGAACAAAGGCUGAAAUUCAGAGAUAGGAAAACACAAAAAAUUUAAAAAGGUUGAGCAUUUUCUCUCAAGUAAAAAGCACUGAAAAUUGCUGGAAGUUUUACUUGGUUUUUUAGUUCUAAAUCCUUUGGUAAAUCAGAGUUUCGAGAGUCAAUAGAAUGGUUCAACCUAGGGUUUUAGGAAUUGGGUUGAGACUUUAAAGCUGGCUUUUUUUGCUGAUUUCAUUCUAUUUCAUUGCCUGGUUUUAAGUUGAUUUCUGCUGCUUUUUUCUGCUGAUACCUCACUUCUUUUGUUUCCUUUUACUUCCAGGUAUUUCUUCAAAACCAUCAAAUAGGAAGUGAAGUUAUUAAAUUGAUUUUGUGAAUGGAAACAUGAUGUUUAUUAAAAAUGCAAAUAAGCUUGUUUGUGUUUGAAGGUUAAGCUGCAUGUGUUCAUAAGGGUUUUUUAGUUUUUGCCUAUUGUAGUAUAGGCUCUGUUAGCAUUGAACAAAUGUUUCCUUCCAUUUGCUUAGUUUGAAUGAAUUGAGAUACUGUUCUCACGAGUGAGAUGUGAGUUCAGUGCAACUGUUAAGUCCAGUAGUUUGGAAUUUGUUAGAUCUAUGUUAGUCUGCUUGGAAAUUAGUUUUUUUUUUUUUUGACAAUUCUGGUUUGAAUCUGCUGGAGUUGAUAGCCUAAGUAUGGAUUAAGAAAUCUUCAACUGUAAUUUGCCUUAGUAAGUGUAUGCUGCUAUUUGGGAUGUCAUGUAUUGUAUUACUUUAUAAAAAAUAUUAAGGUUUUCAUUAUUCAAUUUAUAAUCAUUUUGAUAAGAAGAUGGUCUGAGUGUUUACCUUAAGGGUCAAGAUAUGUAUAGAAUUACUCUUCAUGUGGUUGUAAGCAUGUUUGAGCAGGGUUUGCUAUAAAGAAUCAGAAUUGUUUAUUGGAUAAUUCAAUAAGUUUUCUACUUGCUGCUGUAUGUAUGGAAAAGAGAUUUAAUUGAAGUUUGAAUCUUGCACAAAUGUCCAUUAAGUUAGCUGUGUCGAUUUAACUCAGAUGGCAUGUACAUGCAUUUGUUGAUAGUUAGUUGGUUUCUCCCUUUUUAAUUUUCAAAUAUUGUAUGUGUACCUGGAGACUCAAACUCGAGUCCUUCCUCUUUGGUCCUUAAUUCUCACAGAUAUAGGCCAUCCCUUUGGCCCUGGACCAUGAGGCAAUUUGAAAUGAAGUUGCAAGCCUCAUCGUUUUGGCCAUCCUAUUUCAAAUUUCCCUUUUUAAUUGCUGAAGAUGACAUGGGCCAUUUAACAACUAACAACAACAACAACUACCCAGUAUACUCCCACCAGGU
rnacentral:lncRNA from 1 species